GAAAUGCGAUAAGUAGUGUGAAUUGCAGAAUUCAGUGAAUCAUCGAAUCUUUGAACGCACAUUGCGCCCUUUGGUAUUCCAAAGGGCAUGCCUGUUCGAGCGUCAUUUGUACCCUCAAGCUUUGCUUGGUGUUGGGCGUCUUGUCUCCAGCUUUGCUGGAGACUCGCCUUAAAGUAAUUGGCAGCCGGCCUACUGGUUUCGGAGCGCAGCACAAGUCGCACUCUCUAUCAGCAAAGGUCUAGCAUCCAUUAAGCCUUUUUUUCAACUUUUGACCUCGGAUCAGGUAGGGAUACCCGCUGAACUUAAGC
rnacentral:misc_RNA from 1 species